AUCUCAGAUCCUUUCAGGGAAGAGUUGAUGAAAGCACUUGAACCUUUUAUGAAAAUUGCUUCUUCCAAUUGUUCUUCUUCUUCUGGUUUCUCAUCUUCUUCUUACUCUUCUUACUCUUCUUACUCUUCUUACUCUUCUUACUCUUCUUACUCUCCAACCACUUCUUCAGAAGCCAACUUUUUUUACCCUGAUGGUUAUAACCUUUGCUCCCCAUCAUAUGACACCCCUAUGUUUUCUCAAGGGUUGAUGAGUUUUGAGCAGCAACCAAUUAGUUCUCUU
rnacentral:lncRNA from 1 species